UACGAAGGGGGCUAGCGUUGUUCGGAAUCACUGGGCGUAAAGGGCGCGUAGGCGGCUUUCUAAGUCGGGGGUGAAAUCCUGGAGCUCAACUCCAGAACUGCCUUCGAUACUGGAAAGCUCGAGUCCGGGAGAGGUGAGUGGAACUGCGAGUGUAGAGGUGAAAUUCGUAGAUAUUCGCAAGAACACCAGUGGCGAAGGCGGCUCACUGGCCCGGUACUGACGCUGAGGUGCGAAAGCGUGGGGAGCAAACAGGG
rnacentral:rRNA from 1 species